rnacentral:rRNA from 1 species
GACAGAGGCCUCGAGCGUUAGGCGGAAUCACUGGGCUUAAAGCGUGUGUAGGCGGGCCCGUAAGUGUCUUGUGAUAUCCCACGGCUCAACCGUGGAACUGCUGGGCAUACUGCGGGUCUUGGGCCAACUAGGGGCAGCCGGAACAAGCGGUGGAGCGGUGAAAUGCGUAGAUAUCGCUUGGAACGCCGAAGGUGAAAACAGGCUGCUGGGGUUGCGCCGACGCUGAGACACGAAAGCCAGGGGAGCAAACGGG